GAUGAACGCUGGCGGCGUGCCUAAUACAUGCAAGUCGAGCGAACAGAUGAGGAGCUUGCUCCUCUGACGUUAGCGGCGGACGGGUGAGUAACACGUGGAUAACCUACCUAUAAGACUGGGAUAACUUCGGGAAACCGGAGCUAAUACCGGAUAAUAUAUUGAACCGCAUGGUUCAAUAGUGAAAGAGGGUUUUGCUGUCACUUAUAGAUGGAUCCGCGCCGCAUUAGCUAGUUGGUAAGGUAACGGCUUACCAAGGCAACGAUGCGUAGCCGACCUGAGAGGGUGAUCGGCCACACUGGAACUGAGACACGGUCCAGACUCCUACGGGAGGCAGCAGUAGGGAAUCUUCCGCAAUGGGCGAAAGCCUGACGGAGCAACGCCGCGUAAGUGAUGAAGGUCUUCGGAUCGUAAAACUCUGUUAUUAGGGAAGAACAAAUGUGUAAGUAACUAUGCACGUCUUGACGGUACCUAAUCAGAAAGCCACGGCUAACUACGUG
rnacentral:rRNA from 1 species